GGGGAAUAUUGCACAAUGGGGGAAACCCUGAUGCAGCGACGCCGCGUGAACGAAGAAGUAUUUCGGUAUGUAAAGUUCUAUCAGCAGGGAAGAUAAUGACGGUACCUGACUAAGAAGCACCGGCUAAAUACGUGCCAGCAGCCGCGGUAAUACGUAUGGUGCAAGCGUUAUCCGGAUUUACUGGGUGUAAAGGGAGCGCAGGCGGUGCGGCAAGUCUGAUGUGAAAGCCCGGGGCUCAACCCCGGUACUGCAUUGGAACUGUUUUGCUUGAGUGCUGGAGGGGCAGGCGGAAUUCCUGGUGUAGCGGUGAAAUGCGUAGAUAUCAGGAGGAACACCGGUGGCGAAGGCGGCCUGCUGGACAGUAACUGACGCUGAGGCUCGAAAGCGUGGGGAGCAAACAGGAUUAGAUACCCUGGUAGU
rnacentral:rRNA from 1 species